GACGUAGGGGGCGAGCGUUGUCCGGAUUUAUUGGGCGUAAAGAGCGUGUAGGCGGCUUGGUAGGUCCGCUGUGAAAACUCGAGGCUCAACCUCGAGAUGUCGGCGGAAACCACUUGGCUAGAGUCCGGAAGAGGAGAGUGGAAUUCCUGGUGUAGCGGUGAAAUGCGCAGAUAUCAGGAAGAACACCUAUGGCGAAGGCAGCUCUCUGGGACGGUACUGACGCUGAGACGCGAAAGCGUGGGGAGCGAACAGG
rnacentral:rRNA from 1 species